rnacentral:rRNA from 1 species
GACGAACGCUGGCGGCGUGCUUAACACAUGCAAGUCGAACGGUGAUGCUCCAGCUUGCUGGAGUGGAUCAGUGGCGAACGGGUGAGUAACACGUGAGCAACCUGCCCCAGACUCUGGAAUAAGCGCUGGAAACGGCGUCUAAUACUGGAUACGAAACUGGCCCGCAUGGGCAUGGUUUGGAAAGUUCUGCGGUUUGGGAUGGGCUCGCGGCCUAUCAGCUUGUUGGUGAGGUAAUGGCUCACCAAGGCGACGACGGGUAGCCGGCCUGAGAGGGCGACCGGCCACACUGGGACUGAGACACGGCCCAGACUCCUACGGGAGGCAGCAGUGGGGAAUAUUGCACAAUGGGCGAAAGCCUGAUGCAGCGACGCCGCGUGAGGGAUGACGGCCUUCGGGUUGUAAACCUCUUUCAGCAGGGAAGAAGCGAAAGUGACGGUACCUGCAGAAGAAGCACCGGCUAACUACGUG